GCGGUCCGAUCAGCGCCUUGUCGUCUGGCGGCGCCAAACCAUUGCCACUCACUGUUGGAAAUAUUUUACGUUUCACUGUUAAUGGCAAGAAAGAGAUCUCUGAAAUGACGAUGGUUAACGAUGCGUGAAUACUAUCGCUAUAAGAGUGCGUGCAAAGGAUGUCUUUUACUGACUGCAUAUUGGCUAUUAUAGCGCGGUGUCAGUUACAAAUUUACACGUAUACGAAACGCGCGUACGUUAUUAAUGUCCAUGAGAAGAACGACCAUCAAGGGCACAAUUUAUAGGAUUCACCAAAAAUACUAUCGUCAAUAGUCACAGCAUUGACCAAUUCGCCGAAAACCGCCGCCUCCUUGACACGUAUUCUAAUCAACACCAUUGCACAAGUAUCGCGCCGGUCAGCUCGACGACAUUGUCAACG